AAUGUACUCCCUCCGUUCUAAAUUACUCGUCGCUGAAAUGGAUGUAUCUAGAACUAAGACAUAUUCAGAUACAUCCAUACGUGCGACAAGUAAUUUGGAACGGAGGGAGCAUGAC
rfam:Triticum aestivum genome assembly, contig: Triticum_aestivum_CS42_TGACv1_scaffold_273148_3DS